rnacentral:rRNA from 1 species
GGGUUGUGAGGUUAAGCGACUAAGCGUACACGGUGGAUGCCCUGGCAGUCAGAGGCGAUGAAGGGCGUGCUAAUCUGCGAUAAGCGCCGGUAAGGUGAUAUGAACCGUUAUAACCGGCGAUACCCGAAUGGGGAAACCCAGUGUGACUCGUCACACUAUCAUUAACUGAAUCCAUAGGUUAAUGAGGCGAACCGGGGGAACUGAAACAUCUAAGUACCCCGAGGAAAAGAAAUCAACCGAGAUUCCCCCAGUAGCGGCGAGCGAACGGGGAGGAGCCCAGAGCCUGAAUCAGCAUGUGUGUUAGUGGAAGCGUCUGGAAAGGCGCGCGAUACAGGGUGACAGCCCCGUACACAAAAGCGCAUGUGCUGUGAGCUCGAUGAGUAGGGCGGGACACGUGGUAUCCUGUCUGAAUAUGGGGGGACCAUCCUCCAAGGCUAAAUACUCCUGACUGACCGAUAGUGAACCAGUACCGUGAGGGAAAGGCGAAAAGAACCCCGGCGAGGGGAGUGAAAAAGAACCUGAAACCGUGUACGUACAAGCAGUGGGAGCCCCACCACUAAGCCAGUGGUGAACUCCACAUACGCAUCCUUUGCUGAGGAUACGGUUAACGGAGCGAAAGCGACGUUCAACCUCAAAAGAAGCAGAGGGGGCUUAGUGGUGGGGUGACUGCGUACCUUUUGUAUAAUGGGUCAGCGACUUAUAUUCUGUAGCAAGGUUAACCGUAUAGGGGAGCCGUAGGGAAACCGAGUCUUAACCGGGCGUUAAGUUGCAGGGUAUAGACCCGAAACCCGGUGAUCUAGCCAUGGGCAGGUUGAAGGUUGGGUAACACUAACUGGAGGACCGAACCGACUAAUGUUGAAAAAUUAGCGGAUGACCUGUGGCUGGGGGUGAAAGGCCAAUCAAACCGGGAGAUAGCUGGUUCUCCCCGAAAGCUAUUUAGGUAGCGCCUCGUGAAUUCAUCUCCGGGGGUAGAGCACUGUUUCGGCUAGGGGGCCAUCCCGGCUUACCAACCCGAUGCAAACUGCGAAUACCGGAGAAUGUUAUCACGGGAGACACACGGCGGGUGCUAACGUCCGUCGUGAAGAGGGAAACAACCCAGACCGCCAGCUAAGGUCCCAAAGUCAUGGUUAAGUGGGAAACGAUGUGGGAAGGCCCAGACAGCCAGGAUGUUGGCUUAGAAGCAGCCAUCAUUUAAAGAAAGCGUAAUAGCUCACUGGUCGAGUCGGCCUGCGCGGAAGAUGUAACGGGGCUAAACCAUGCACCGAAGCUGCGGCAGCGACGCUUAUGCGUUGUUGGGUAGGGGAGCGUUCUGUAAGCCUGCGAAGGUGGCCUGUGAGGGUUGCUGGAGGUAUCAGAAGUGCGAAUGCUGACAUAAGUAACGAUAAAGCGGGUGAAAAGCCCGCUCGCCGGAAGACCAAGGGUUCCUGUCCAACGUUAAUCGGGGCAGGGUGAGUCGACCCCUAAGGCGAGGCCGAAAGGCGUAGUCGAUGGGAAACAGGUUAAUAUUCCUGUACUUGGUGUUACUGCGAAGGGGGGACGGAGAAGGCUAUGUUGGCCGGGCGACGGUUGUCCCGGUUUAAGCGUGUAGGUGUGUGUUCCAGGUAAAUCCGGUUCACUUUAACACUGAGGCGUGACGACGAGGCACUACGGUGCUGAAGCAACAAAUGCCCUGCUUCCAGGAAAAGCCUCUAAGCAUCAGGUAACAUCAAAUCGUACCCCAAACCGACACAGGUGGUCAGGUAGAGAAUACCAAGGCGCUUGAGAGAACUCGGGUGAAGGAACUAGGCAAAAUGGUGCCGUAACUUCGGGAGAAGGCACGCUGACACGUAGGUGAAGUGAUUUACUCAUGGAGCUGAAGUCAGUCGAAGAUACCAGCUGGCUGCAACUGUUUAUUAAAAACACAGCACUGUGCAAACACGAAAGUGGACGUAUACGGUGUGACGCCUGCCCGGUGCCGGAAGGUUAAUUGAUGGGGUCAGCGCAAGCGAAGCUCCUGAUCGAAGCCCCGGUAAACGGCGGCCGUAACUAUAACGGUCCUAAGGUAGCGAAAUUCCUUGUCGGGUAAGUUCCGACCUGCACGAAUGGCGUAAUGAUGGCCAGGCUGUCUCCACCCGAGACUCAGUGAAAUUGAACUCGCUGUGAAGAUGCAGUGUACCCGCGGCAAGACGGAAAGACCCCGUGAACCUUUACUAUAGCUUGACACUGAACAUUGAGCCUUGAUGUGUAGGAUAGGUGGGAGGCUUUGAAGCGUGGACGCCAGUCUGCGUGGAGCCGACCUUGAAAUACCACCCUUUAAUGUUUGAUGUUCUAACGUGGACCCGUAAUCCGGGUUGCGGACAGUGUCUGGUGGGUAGUUUGACUGGGGCGGUCUCCUCCUAAAGAGUAACGGAGGAGCACGAAGGUUGGCUAAUCCUGGUCGGACAUCAGGAGGUUAGUGCAAUGGCAUAAGCCAGCUUGACUGCGAGCGUGACGGCGCGAGCAGGUGCGAAAGCAGGUCAUAGUGAUCCGGUGGUUCUGAAUGGAAGGGCCAUCGCUCAACGGAUAAAAGGUACUCCGGGGAUAACAGGCUGAUACCGCCCAAGAGUUCAUAUCGACGGCGGUGUUUGGCACCUCGAUGUCGGCUCAUCACAUCCUGGGGCUGAAGUAGGUCCCAAGGGUAUGGCUGUUCGCCAUUUAAAGUGGUACGCGAGCUGGGUUUAGAACGUCGUGAGACAGUUCGGUCCCUAUCUGCCGUGGGCGCUGGAGAACUGAGGGGGGCUGCUCCUAGUACGAGAGGACCGGAGUGGACGCAUCACUGGUGUUCGGGUUGUCAUGCCAAUGGCACUGCCCGGUAGCUAAAUGCGGAAGAGAUAAGUGCUGAAAGCAUCUAAGCACGAAACUUGCCCCGAGAUGAGUUCUCCCUGAGACUUAGAGUCUCCUGAAGGAACGUUGAAGACGACGACGUUGAUAGGCCGGGUGUGUAAGCGCAGCGAUGCGUUGAGCUAACCGGUACUAAUGAACCGUGAGGCUUAACCUUACAACGCCGAAG